GAUGAACGCUGACCGCCUGCUUAACACAUGCAAGUCCACUCUGGCGGCCGUGUGAGUAACGCGUACAGACCUUUCCUCCCGGAUAGGGACAACCUUUGGAACCUAAUGCUCAUACCUGAUCCUGUGAGCGAGCUUUGCGUCCCAUUAGCUAGUUGGAGAGGUAACGGCUCACCAAGGCGAUGAUGGGUAGCCGGCCUGAGAGGGUGAUCGGCCACAAGGGGACGGAGAGACGGCCCUGACACCUGCGGGAGGUAGCAGUGGGGAAGAUGGGACAAUGGACAAAAGGCUGAGUCAGUAAUGCAGUGUGUAGGAUGAAGUUUUCGGAAUGUAAAGUGCGUUCAGUUGGGAAGCGGUACCAACAGAAGAAGGGAAGGCUAAAUACGUGCCAGCAGCCGGGGUAAUAC
rnacentral:rRNA from 1 species